AACAAUUUUUGAACUUUUUUGGUUGACAUUAUCAGAUUUUGUAUUUCACCUACUGAUCAUGACUCUUCUAAAUCAAUACUAUGCCCUGCUUCUCUGAAUUGUUUUGUGCCUGUGGCCCUGUCAGUAUUGAUGGAUAUUGUAU